UGCUCCUAGUGUUCAGUGUGCGCCUUGUAUGGCGGAAACCCCGACAUCGGGGUGAAUGUGAGGCAUUAUUUGUAAAGCGCUUUGAGCGUUUGACACAGAUGGAAAAGCGCUAUAUAAAUGCAGUCCAUUUAACAUUACUGUGAGG